CCUCUCAUGGACUUACGGCCAGGGCUACACACGUACUACAAUGGUAGGGACAGAGGGCUGCAAGCCGGCGACGGUAAGCCAAUCCCAGAAACCCUAUCUCAGUCCGGAUUGGAGUCUGCAACUCGACUCCAUGAAGUCGGAAUCGCUAGUAAUCGCAGAUCAGCAUUGCUGCGGUGAAUACGUUCCCGGGCCUUGUACACACCGCCCGUCACACCAUGGGAGUUUGUUGCACCAGAAGCAGGUAGCUUAACCUUCGGGAGGGCGCUUGCCACGGUGUGGCCGAUGACUGGGGUGAAGUCGUAACAAGGUAGCCGUAUCGGAAGGUGCGGUUGGAUCACCUCCUAA
rnacentral:rRNA from 1 species